rnacentral:tRNA from 1 species
GCCGAAGUGGUGGAAUUGGUAGACACGCCAUCUUGAGGGGGUGGUGAGCUUAUGCUCGUGCGGGUUCAAGUCCCGCCUUCGGCACCA